UUUGAGGUCUCUGCCCAGCCCUGCCUCAGGCUGCUGCAGUUCAUUUAAUUCUCACAACAACCCUAGGAGGUUGCUCCUAAUGUCCCCACUACCCCAAAAGGGACAUCUCCGAGAAGGUGGGUGGAGGAGGGGGAGGGGACAGCAUGAUCAGUCACAAGGGACGACCCUCCUCGGGGAGGGCAGCACUCCAGUUCACUAGCAGAUGAACACGAGCACAGAUGUACAGGAAAGGGCUCAGACUCAAGACACAAGCAGAGCAAAGGUCAAGGGCCAUGGCCAGUGCCCCCUCACUAGGGCACUGGUUCAAGGUUUGAACCCCAGAGAAACUAGCUGGCCACUGAUGAUCCUCUUUGUCGCUUGUCCCUCGCUGUCCUGAUCCCAGGGGGGUCCACAAGGAGUUGCUCUGUAUGGUAGUGGGUUCCUGGAAUCCGUGCUCCUUGGCUAGGCCAUAUAACAUGCAGGCAACUUGAGGGAGUGGCUGGGGUACCAGGAGGUAGAGGUGCACAGCAGGUACUCGAGCAGCAGCUUUGGCAUCCAGAAGGUGGUCCUGGAAGACUGGUGUGAGCCGAUGAUGUCAUCCCUGAAGAGAGAGCCAGGUAAGAGAUUCUUCUGUGGGCGCCCCGGGUUUCUGGAAGAGCUGCAGCCAAGGCCAGCAGAGCCGAGGCGAGCUCUAUUCCAGCUCUUCGUCUUC
rnacentral:lncRNA from 1 species